rnacentral:lncRNA from 1 species
AUUCUAAAAAUAGUGGGAGUCAAAGGACUAAAGAAAAUAUUUUGUUACUACCUAGUUCUUUUAUUUCUAUUUUGAAAAAUAAAGAAAAUGAUGAUUUUGAGUUAAGAAGAAGUAAAAGAGCUAGAGUAUAAACAAAUUUUGGUCUUGACUAUUAUGUUUUUAAUGUUGGAGAUGACCCUCUCACUUUAAAAGAAGUUUUGUCUUCACGUCAUGCUAUUUUUUGGAAAGAAGCCAUAAAUGAUAAAAUGGAAUCACUAAUUUUCAAUAAAACUUGAAAGCUAGUUGAUUUACCACCGAGUUAUAAUACAACUGGAUGUAAAUGGAUCCUAGGUUAAAACUGAAUGAAUUUGUUGAUAAAUACAAGGCUAGGUUAGUGGCUAAAGGUUUUAAGUAAUUAGGAGAUCUAAAUUUUUUUGAUAUUUUUUCUCUAAUAACUAGAAUUACGUCCAUUGGACUUUUAGUUGCUAUUGCGGCAAUUUUUGAUUUGCAAAUUUAUCAAAUAGAUGUAAAAUCAAUUUUUUUAAAUGAAGGCCUAAAUGAGGAGAUUUAUAUGGAUCAACCCGAGUGUAUUGUCAAACUAGCCAAGAAAGCAAAGUGUGUAAACUUACUAAAUCCCUAUAUGGCUUAAAACAUGCACCAAAACAAUGACAUGAAAAGAUUGAUUCCUGCAUGAUUGAUAAUGGCUUUAAAGCAAAUGAGUGUGAUAAGUGAAUAUACCAUAAGUCUUGAAAUAAUUCACAUGUUAUUAUUUGCCUAUAUGUUGAUGAUUUAUUGAUCGUCGGCUCUAACAUGAAUGUUAUUGGAGAAACUAAAAAUAUUCUUAGAAGUCAUUUUGAUAUGAAAGAUCUUGGUGAGGAAAAUUUUAUUUUAGGAAUAAAAAUUACUAGAACAUAUGAUGAGAUUUUUCUUGACCAGCCACAUUAUGUUGAGAAAAUUUUGAAAACAUAUAGUUUUCUUGAUUGCAAGAAUAUUGUAAUUCCUUUUGAUUCUAGUGUUGUAACGAUCCGGAACUACCUCCUAAUCGCUACACGGUGCUUACGACCCCGAAGGACCACAAGUUAACCCGAGAGCUGGUAUCUGCUGUGAGCACUGAAUAAAAUAAUAACAAACGCGGAAGAAUAACUGAAAAGCCAUAAGGUUUUAGCAACUGAAAUUAAUACUGUCUCAUAGUUUCAAACAUCUAAGAACAAACUGGUAAUAUUGAUAAACAACUGACAAUAACAACUGAAAAACUAAUCAACUGUCUGUACUAGUCUAAAAGCCUCUAAUUGACUGACUGUGGAGUUGAUGGGACAAGCCCCCAACUAACUGGAUAACUGAACUACUAACAUACGGAAUAUAAGAUAACUCAUCCUCGAAGGAUGAUGACUCACCACUGAUGACUUUUGCUGAUGAGCGAUCUACCUAAGUACGGUUAGGAUCCGAGCGUCCGAACCUAUGAUAUGGGAUAUCAUAGCGUAAAAAACGAGUAUGCGAUCAGUACUUUGAAUGUACUAGUAUGCUAAGUGGGGUUAGGCUAAUAUGCAUGUUUCAUGGGCACAAGUAAUAAUUAACUGAAUGAAUAGAAAGAGGUACUGAAUAGAAUGCAUAAAUUUUAUAAAUGCUGAGAAUGCGUGAAAUCUAUAGAUAUUAUGGAUGCACGACCAAGCAUAAAACAUGUUCUGAAAACUAAAAUACGGAGUACUGAUAAAUGCGUACCUGAUAUCUGUAUGUUAUGGUCAAGCAAAACCAAAACUGAAUUACUGAGCUGAAUACUGGACUGAGACCGUGGGAGCUAACUAUAACCAACAUGCCCUAAUAUACUAUCAGGGUUCAACCAGUAACCCCAGUUAGAAGGGUGUCAGUACCGUGCCACACCACAGGUACUAACACUGGCUAUGUGGAUCCACUAAUCUGAAGUCCCGAAGGAUAAGGGUAUCAUGCCUAACUGACGGGGGACCCCUCAAAAUCUACGGCGGCGCCAUAGGUCUGGAACCUAGGGACUGCUACUAGUGCCUCAUGCCUAAUUGACGGGGGAGACACCAUCCUUAUGCUCACUCAGUGCUAAGUGUUACUCCCAACUGAAUGACACUAACUAUUAGACCAAUCUGUGUUUAACUGAAUAUAAUAAAUAGUCGAACUGAGAAUGCUCCUAUCUAUUCUGAGACCAUUCUGAAGAUACUAAAAACUAGGUAAGAAGCUAAAUUUUGGGUAUUCAAACCCCCAGGACUCGAUAACAAUAAUAGCAAGAUCAUACUAAAACUUGAGGACAUGAUAUGCAAGCAUUUAUUCAAAACUCUUUCUUGUAGGCAUUUUAUCAAACACUUGCAAUGCAAGGGUUAAGAUAAGCAUGGGGUUAGUUCUAAAGCUUGUAGAACUAGCAUGAUUUCAAUAAUAAAGUCCCCAAUUAUGUAUUAAAUCAACAACAACACCAUUAAAACAUAUGGGGUUUAAUAACAACAAGAAAUACGUGUAAACAUGGUACAGUAUCGAAGUUCAUGGGAAUUCAUGGUUAACAAUCAUAAUAAUCAUGUAAAAUUCAUAACUUUGAAUUUGAAAUUAGGUUAUUGAACUCCAUGGGUGAAAAGGACCCAUGGAUGAACAUCUAAAUAACUCAAAAGCUUAAAUCUUGAAGGAGAUUUACCUUUCUUGAAGGUUCUUGAAUGGUGACAUUUUGAUUCUUGAGUUUUCUUUAAGAACGGUUUGAAUCUUGUUCUUGGAGAUUGAUUUUGAAAGAAACUCUAAUUUUGAUGCUAUAGGUGAAUAUUGAGUUAUGUACUUUGAUUUGAUUUAAUUAGGUGUUAAAAAGGGUGGAAAAACUCAAAAAUCCCUUUAAAAACGACUUUAAAUCACUAAACAAAGGUGCGGGACGAUUUCGGUGACGACCCGUCAUCCUAGGGAUGGACCGUCCCUCUAACCAUCGCUCCAUGGACAGAAAAUAGGCUUACUGCCUCUGUUACGACGGUUUGGGCGACAGUCCGUCAGCCUUCCCUUCGCACUUUGGCAGUUCAGAUAACUCACUGUAAAACGGCCAUAACUUUUUACCCCGACAUCGGAUUUUGGCAAAAUUGUUAUCAUUGAAAAGAUAAUUCAAUUAUUUAUCUGUUGAUUUGUCAUUAACUCAAAAAUUCUUUGUAGAACGGAAUAUAUGCUCGUUGGAAGUUGAUUAUACCAAUAUCUUUCUCAAGAAUUCAAUCGGUAAGGGAUGUUUUGAUUUGCCUAAUAGCUAGGACAUAUUUGAGGCCUUAAUAGACAUCAAAUUUGAUCAUAAAGCUACCAAUGCACUAUAAUUUAUCUCUCAUGAGCUUGAAUCAUGGUUCUACUAUCGGUCGAGAUUCUCAGGGUAUUACAAUAUCUUUCAUUUAGGAACAUUCGUCCUCGAAUGAGGUUGGUUAAGCUGAGCACACUGAGGAAUUGAAGUUACAUGCUAAACAUACUUACCGAAAACAUAAUUAAAUGGCCAGGCAUGAAUCAUGAUACAUGACUGAACUGGUUUCGUGAAUACAUGAUGACAUGANNNNNNNNNNNNNNNNNNNNNNNNNNNNNNNNNNNNNNNNNNNNNNNNNNNNNNNNNNAAUCUGAGUCUGCAUUCGUGGAGAAAAGAUGAGGGUACUUGGUAUGCAUGUCUUCUUCUGCUCCCCAAGUGACUCCCUCAACGGACUGGUUCCGCCAAAGAACUUUAACCAAGGGAACUUCUUUAUUCCUUAGUCUACGAAUUUGGCGAUCAAGGAUCUCGACUGGAACUUCUUCGUAAGAAAGAUUGUUCUGAACAUCUAUAAUUUCUAAUGGGACAACUACAGCUGGAUCACCAAUACACUUCUUCAAUAAUGUGAUAUGGAACACUGGGUGCACUGAUGCUAAGUCUGCAGGCAACUCAAGCUCAUAAGUCACCUUUCCAAAAUGACUCAAUAUUCUGUAAGGGCCAACAUAUCGAGGACUAAGCUUCCUCUUCUUACCAAACCUCUUUACCCCCUUCAUGAGAGAGAUCUUUAAAUACACAAAAUCACCAAUCUCAAACUCAAGAUCCUUUCUCCUCACAUAUGCGUAUGCUUUCUGUCGGCUUUGGGUUGUCCUAAGUCUCUCCCGGAUCAAUUGAACUUUCCCUAAAGCAUCGAACACCAAGUCAGGCCCUUCCAAAGCUGUCUCACCUACCUCAAACCAACCAAUUAGAGAUCUACAUAUCCUCCCAUAAAGAGCCUCAAAUGGAGUCAUCUGAAUACUGGAAUGGUAGUUGUUAUUAUACGUGAACUCAAUCAAAGGCAAGUGAUCAUCCCAACUACCCCUAAAAUCAACUACACACGCUCUCAACAUAUCCUCAAGGGUCUGAAUAAUCCUCUCCGCCUGACCAUCUGUCUGAGGGUGAAAGGUUGUACUGAGGUAGACUUGGGUACCAAGACCCUUCUGGAAAGAUUUCCAAGAGUGAGAGGUAAACUGAGUACCUCUAUCUGAGAUUAUAGAUUGAGGAACACCAUGCAACCUAACCAACUCCCUAAUAUAGAGCUUGGCAUAGUCUUCAGCUGAAUAAGAAGUAUGGACUGGUAAGAAAUGGGCUGAUUUGGUCAUUCUGUCCACAAUGACCCAAAUUGAAUCAUGCUGACGACGGGUAUGAGACAAACCUGUCACAAAAUCCAUGUUCACUUCCUCCCACUUCCAAGUGGGAAUAGUGAACUCCUUUAUAGACCCACUAGGCUUUUGAUGUUCAAUCUUAACCUGUUGAUAAGUGGAGCACUUUGCCAUAAACUCUGUAAUAUCUCUCUUCAUACCACUCGACCAAUAGAUUUUCCACAGAUCGUGGUACAUCUUCGUGGCCCUUGGAUGAAUAGAGUUACGAGCACCAUAUACUUCUGCAAGAAUUCGAUGUCUCAAAUCAUCUACCCACGACACAUACAGUCUACCCUGACAAUGCAACACACCAUCUCCUCCUUGGGAGAAAACCUCUACUUUCUGAUCUCCGACUGAUUCCUUCAACUUAACCAGACUUGGAUCCCUAUCUUGUUUUUUCUUUCACUUUGGCAACCAAAGAGGAUCCCGAACUAUUUUGAACCAUACACUACCCUCAGUUAAAUCGACCAAAUGAACACCUAAUCUGGUAAGAUGAUGAACUUCCCUAACUAACUCUUUCUUAUCAUCCUCAACAUGAGUAACACUACCCAUAAACAAUCUACUUAAGGGAUCUGCCACUAUAUUGGCCGUGCCCGGGUGGUACAAAACACUAAUAUCAUAAUCUUUUAAUAAUUCUAACCAUCUCCUCUGCUGCAAAUUCAAAUCCUUCUGUGAAAACACAUACUGUAAGGUUUUGUGAUUUGUGAACACAUCAACAUACACCCCAUACAAAUAGUGCCUCCAAAUCUUUAAGGCAAACACAACAGCUGCUAACUCAAGAUCAUGGGUAGGGUAAUUUUUUUCAUGAGGCUUAAGCUGCCUAGAAGCAUAAGCUAUAACCUUACCUCUCUGCAUGAAAAAACAACCCAAUCCAACUCUGGACGUAUCACAGUACACAAUAAGAAAUACGUGUAAACAUGGUAUAGUAUCGAAGUUCAUGGGAAUUCAUGGUUAAAAAUCAUAAUAAUCAUGUAAAAAUCAUAACUUUGAAUUUGAAAUUGGGUUCUUGAACUCCAUGGGUGAAAAGGACCCAUGGAUGAACAUCUAACAUACCUCAAAAACUUGAAUCUUAAAGGAGAUUAACCUUUCUUGAAGGUUCUUGAAUGGUGACGUUUUGAUUCUUGAGUUUUCUUGAAGAAGGGUUUGAAUCUUGUUCUUAGAGAUUGAUCUUGAAAGAAACUCUAAUUUUGAUGAUAUGGGUGAAUAUGGAGUCAUGUGCUUUGAUUUGAUUUAAUUAGGUUUUAAAAUAGGUGGAAAAGACCUAAAAAUUCCUUUAAAAACAGCUUUAAAUUGCUAAACGGAGGUGCUAGAUGGUUUCAGCGAUGACCCAUAGCCCAAGGGACGGAUUGUCCCUCAAACCGUCGCUCCAUGGCUAGAAAAUAGGCUUACUGCCUCAGUUGUGACGGUUUGGGCGACGGUCCGUCCGCCUUCUUGUCGCACUUUGGCAGUUCGGAUAGCUCAUUGUAAAACGGCCAUAACGUUUUACCCCAAUAUCGAAUUUUUGUGAAAUUGAUAUCGUUAGAAAUAUAAUUCAAUUAUAUAUCUUUUGAUGGGUCAUGAGUUCAAAAUUUCUCUGUAUAACGGAAGAUAUGCUCGUUAGAAAUUGACUAUACCAAUAUCCUUCUCAAGAAAUCAAUCCGUAAGGGAUGUUUUGAUUAGCCUAAUAGCUAGGACAUAUUUGAGGCCUUAAUACACAUCAACCUUUGACCAUAAAACUACCAAAGCACUAUAAUUUAUCUCUCAUGAUCUUGAAUCAUGGUUCUUCUAUCGGUCAGGAUUCUCGGGGUAUUACAAGUGUUCAAUUAUUUCCUGUUGAAAGUGAAAAUAAUGUGAUUAACCAAAAGAAAUAUGCUAGAAUAAUUAGAAGUUUGAGAUAAGUGAUUGAUGUAAUAGGCCUGAUAUUGCAUAUGCAUUAGGAGUACUUAGAAGGUUUAGUAGCAAUCCAGGUAAUGAACAUUGACAUGCAAUAAUGAGAGUAGUGAGAUAUUUAAUCGAAAUGAAAACUUGUGGUUUGUUCUAUAAAGAAUAAUCUUUUGUACUUAAAGGCUUUUCUGAUGCGGAUUGAAAAAUUUUAUCAGGUGAUUCCUUAUCUACUACUGGUUAUAUUUUUACUUUGGGUGGUCGUACUAUUUAUUGAAAAUCUAAAAAACAAACUAUUAUAGCAAACUCUAUCAUAGAGGCUGCACUAAUUACUUUCGCUUCAGUUAGUGAGGAAGCGAAUUGGUUAAGAAAUUUGUUAUUCAAAUACCUUAUUUUGAAAAAUCAAUUCCUUCUAUUUUUAUUUAAAGCGAUAGCACCGCUGCAAUUGAUAGAGUUCAAAAUCGUUAUUACAAUGGUAAAUUCAGACCUAUAAGGAGAAAACACAGUAAUGUGAGAUAUUAGUUGAUAAAUGAUAACACUGAUGUUGAUUACAUCAAAUUAAGCCUAUCAAAUGGGCCGGUUUAACCUGGCUCGAAUCGACCCACUUAAACGGCCCGACCUGGUCCAAUCAACCCCUGAGCUGUAGGGUACCGAGUCCCGGGAUGAGCCAAGUUUAAAAUUGGGCCCAGUUAACCCGACUCAGACCAAAACCAAUCCAAGCCCUCCGGUUAACCGUCCCGACCCAUCCCGGAUAACUUUUUUCAAAACAAAAUUAGGAUUUUUGACCGUUGGGCCACAAGUAGCCGUUGGCCCAACGGCUAAAUGGCCAUUUUUCGGUCCAAACGGCUACUUAGCCCUUUUUAAUUAAAAAAGAAGAAGUUUUUUUUAUUUAAAAUAUUUUUUUAAACCCCAAAAAAUUCCUAUAAAUACCCUGCACUUUCAAAUUAUUUUCACACAAUUUUCAUUCUCUCAAAUCUCAUUCUCUCUCAAAUCUCAAAUCUCAAUUCUCAAAUAUUUUAUACAUUUCCUAAAGUGCUCAAUUUAAUUUUUUAAUUUUGUGAUUACAAAGUACGAGUGAAAGUUUCUAAAGUCGCAACUUUCGGAUACUUCCAAAAUUUGGUAUUGUCUUUCCAUCUCUUACUUUUAAUUUUUAAUUAGUGUAUUAAUUGUUGAAUAUUUAAUUUUAUUAUAUUUGUUUAUUUUGAAUUUUUUUAGUUUAAUUUAUAUUAUGAAUAAAUUAAGAAACCUCGUCAAUAAAAAUGUAAAAAAAAAAUAUUCCGAAAGUGGUAGUGAUAGUAAAAAGCGAAUUACUGGCAGUAGAGGUAGUUCAAGUAGUAGAUAUACCUGUGUGCCUCCGGUACCGCUUAACCUUUUGAGGAAUAAGUAGGUGUAGGUGCUAACGAUAUGAAUUAUGUAGAAGCUCAGGAAAGUUAUGGUAUAGAAGAAGAAAAUGAAGUAGAUUCGGUUGAUUUAGACGAAGAUAAUGAAAAUAUUAGUGAGACACCCGCCAGUAGAAAAUGCUAACGUUAGAUCUGAAUCGGUUAAUCACCCUCCCCUGACCCCAAGAGAUCGUAGAACAACUAGUAUUGCAUGACAAUUUUUUACACGUCUAAGACAUACUAAUGAGGUGCAAUACAAUAUUUGUCAACAAAUAUAUAACCAUAAAAGAGGAGGCGUGCAAGGGGGUAUGGGUACGUUAAGGAGACAUAUAGGUGAUAAUCACGAAAGAGAGUUAUUUAUUGAAAAAAGUGGUGAGGAUGUUGGUGGGUCAUCACAAACUAGAAUGAAUCCAACAACCGGUCAGGUAAUUAAGAAGUAUAAUAAAUUAAGGGACCGAGAGAAAAUAGCAAAAAUGAUAGUUUUGGGUUGUUUGCCUUUCAAUUUUCCUUCUUCGAAUGCUUUUAUUCAUUAUAUUCAAGCAAUUUAUAAUCCUAUGUUUAAUGGUAUUUUUAGAAGUACUUUUCGGACUGAUAUUUUUAGACUUCAUUCACAAUAUAUUUUUUAUUUAUCUAUAUUGUUAAAAAAUAUUCAAUGUAGAAUGGCUCUAACUUCUGAUCUUGGUCGUGCUGUUAAUAAAAAUAAUUAUUUAACCAUUACUUGUCACUGGAUAGAUAGUAAUUUUGUUAUGUAAAAAUGUAUUCUAGCUUUUUGUAUGAUGAAGAUCGUAAACAUACUGGAGAAUUUAUUGUUGAUUCAAUUGGUAAAGUUGCAGAAUUUUAUAGUAUUGAAAAUAAAGUCUUAUGUAUUGCUUUUGAUAAUGCUUCUAACAGCAAGACUGCUAUUACAAAGUUAAAAGCUAGGCUCUCUCCGCCGUUACCUAAAAUAUUUCAUGUUAAGUGUGAUUGUCAUAUGUAUAAUUUAAUUAUAAGAGAUGGUCUUGAAUUUUUUUAUCUUUAUAUUAAAAAAAAUUCGGCUUGUUGUUGGUUUUAUUCAAGAAAAUAAUCGAAGAAAAAGAAUUAGAGAAUUUAAAGUUAAAUGUGAACAAAAUGGACUUGCACCAAUAUUGAUGCCUGAAGAAUGUGAUACUAGAUAGAAUGCUACGUAUGAUUUUAAAAACUUGUCAUACUUAUAGAGUUCCUAUUACACUAACUUUUAACCAAUAUUGUGGUUAAUUUGUUGAUUCGGCUGAAUAUAUGCUACAUGAUUCUGAUUGGACUGUAAUUGAUGAUCUUGUUAAGUUUUUGAAAAAAAUUUAUAUAGCUACGGUUGAAUUUUAUGGUGCUUAUUAUUCUACUGUUUGUAAUAUUUUAGUAUAUAUAGCCGAUAUUUCUGAUUUGCUCAAAGAAUAUAAGAAUAAAGAAGGUUACAAAGAAGCUGUUGGUGCUAUGUUUGCUAAAUUUUAAAAAUAUUUUUUUCUGAUUCUUCCUAUUUACUUGGUUGGUGCUAUGCUAAAUUCGUAUAUGAAAUAUACUACUAUGUGCCACUUUAGUACUCUAAUUUAUUCUAACUUAGAGAUAAAUACUAACAAUGAUUCUGAUAAUUAAGAACAAGAAUAACCAGAUUUGUGGACGGCUAUGGGUGAUGCGAACGCUUACAUAGAUAAAUUAUAUAACCAUUAUGCUGAUUUACUUGAUUUAGUUGUACCGGCAAAUAUCACUCCAACUGUCGCUCCUCAUCCUCCUGAGGAGCCAUCAUCUUCUAAAAGGCCGGCACAUAGUAGUUUUCCUGAUCACUUUUAUAAUUUAAAUAUUUGGAACAAUGUUGAGGCGGGAACUUACACAUUAACUUAUCAGGAAGAGAUUAAGUAUUAUCUUCGAACGCCGCUAAAGGAUCGUAGAUGACGGAUCAACGCAUUGGAUUGGUGGAAGAAUAAUAAAACACAAUAUCCUAUGCUUUCAAGAUUAGCUAGAGAUAUAUUGAAUGUUCCAAUAUCAACAGUUGCAUCGGAGAGUGCUUUUAGUCAGGGACGACAACAACUUGGAGACAACCGACACUCAUUGGAAAACAAUGCUAUGAAUGUUCUAGUUUACUUUAGAGAUUGAAUUAGAGCGGAACGAAGAAAUCAACGAAUUAGGGUGGAGCCAAAAGACGAAUAGAAACUUGAAGAAAUUAUGAUUUCAAGGGAGAACUCAGCAAAAUCAAGUCCAAUGCAUGAUUUUACCCCCAUUGAUUUUGACUAUCCUAUGCCAGUUUCCGUUAAUGUUAACAUGAAUGAGUUGAAAAAAAUGAUGAAAACUUUGUAGAUUUUUCAUUCAUGUACAUUAUAAAUUUUGAAUCAUCUUGCAAUCAAUAAAUAUAACAUUCAUUCACUCUUUACUUUGUAAUUUUUUCUAUUUAAUGAUUUAAAUUGAAUUUCUAGUUUAAAUUAAAUACUUAAUUUUAAUAUAUUACUAAUUUACUAUCAAGUUUUACACUAAGUAAUAGACAAUUUUAUACAAACAUAUAACCAUAUAUACACAUAAUGAAAAAAUAAUUUUUUUUUUUAAGUUCAAAACCCCAAGUAUUAUUAAUUUAUUAUAUUAAGCAGCAUAUUAUUAAAGUUGUACAUAUAUUAAAUGGUACGUAUAUAUGUGUAUAUAUAGAGUAUAGACUCUAAAGUAAUAUAUAUUUAUGGUAUACAUGUGUAUAUAUUUUAUAAAUUAGUAUAUAUAUUGUAGUAUAUAUCUUGAAUUAUAUGUUUUAUUUAAAGUAGUAAAUAUAUUGAAUGGUACGUAUAUAUGUGUAUAUUUAGAGUAUAGAUUCUAAAGUAGUAUAUAUUUAAGGUAUACAUGUGUAUAUGUUUUAUAAAUUAUUAUAUUAUAUAUCUAUAAUAUAUUAAAAGUGUGAAGCCCUUAGAAAAGUGAUUUGAACUUUUUGUCCUUCGUUAAAGGACCCUCCUAUAGACAAAACUGUCUUUUCACUAUUUUUAAAUUUAUUAUUUAAUUAUUUUUAUUAUAUUAACUAGACUCUCCUAAAAUAUAUGAAAGAAGAAUCGAUUAAUAUUUUCCUUUGCAGUGAUCAAUUAAAAAAAUACUUCUAAAAUAAGAUAGAAAAAUACUUCUAAAAUAGGACUAUACUAAGAAAAUACUUUUAUAAAUAUUGAGAUGCACGUUAAAUUAGAGAAGAAAUCGGUUUACUUAAGCUUUGUGAUCACUAUUGCAUUAUUUUAUUGUAGUUUAUAGGUCGUAGAUUAAUUUACAGGUGCUAGACGAAUGUCGGUUGGCUUGGCGAAACUUUUUAGGUAAAGAUUAGGUUUAAUUGUAUUAUUUUUAUAUUUCUGCUUUGACAAUUUUUUUUGUACAAAGGUAAAGUUUAGUUGUGUUAUUUUGAUAUCUCUAUCAUCGUAUUUUUUUGUUAUAGUUGGUGGUAGAUGAGUGUCAGACGGUUUUGAGAAAUUUUUUGUGUAAAGGUUAGAUUUAAUUAUAUUAUUUUAAUGUCUCUAUCAUCGUAUUAUUUUGUUGCAGUUUACAGGUGAUAGAUGAAUGUCGAUUGACUUUGACAAAUUUUUUUGAUGAAGUUUAGGUUUAAUUAAAUUGAUUCUUCAAAAGAUGUUGAAUUUAAUUAUUGUAUUCACCUUUAUUAUUUAAACAAAUAUCCUAUUUAGUAUAACGUUUAAACUCAAUAAAGUGAGGUAUAUGCGCGAAGAGCGUACAUCUAAACUAGUAUAUAUCUUGAAGUAUAUGUUUUGUUUAAAGUAGUACAUAUAUUGAAUGGUACGUAUAUAUGUAUAUAUAUAGAGUACAGACUCUAAAGUAGUAUAUAUUUAACGUAUACACGUGCAUAUGUUUUAUAAAUUAGUAUAUUAUAUAUAUAUAUAUAUAUAUAUAGGGUUGAUCCCAGGGGUCACCCGCUAAAUAGGAAUAACUCCACAAGAGAGGUAUUUACCCGUGGCAUGGUACUGACACCUUUCCAACUGGGGUUAUAGGUUGGACCCCAAGUUAGCUAGAGGAGGCAUGUCGAUUAGAUGACUACUUCCCACAGUCUUGAUUUCAGAAUCAAUCUCAGUAGAGGAACUCAGCUCAGUAGUACAGAGUAAGGACUGUCAGAUACAGUCAAUUGUUAUGAUUAUCAAUAGACUCAGAGAUCACCUGCUAGAUAGGACUGAUCUCAGAUUUCAAAUGCGCAUUCCCAUUAUCAUUAAGAUUUUAGAGAUCACCUACUAGAGAGGACUGAGCUCAACUUUAGUACUCAGUUAUUGAUAUCAGAAGAUUUAGUUAUUCAGUUUCUCAGUAUUAGUAGUGAGUUUGUUUUAUUUAAAGUAGUACAUAUAUGUAAUGGUACGUAUAUAUGUGUAUAUAUUUUUUAUAGACUCUAAAGAGUAUAUUUCUAACGUAUACAUGUGUAUAUGUUUUAUAAAUUAAUAUAUAACUACAUAUAUAGUGUGUAUAUAUUGUAGUAUAUAUAAAUUAGUAUAUAUCUUGUAGUAUAUGUUUUAUUUAAAGUAGUACAUACAUUGAAUGGUACGUAUAGAUGUGUAUAUAUAGAAUACACUCUAAAGUAGUAUAUAUUUAAGGUAUACAUGUGUAUAUGUUUUAUAAAUUAGUAUAUAUAUUGUAGUAUAUAUCUUGUAGUAUAUGUUUUAUUUAAAAUAGCAUAUACAUUUAACUAACGUAUAAUCGUAUACAUGAUUACAUGUGUAAUUGUGUAUAUGUUUUUUAAAUUUUAAUGUAGUAUAUACUAUAUAUUGUGUGUAUAUCAUUUAAUGUAUUUAAAAUGUAUAUAGGUGGAUAUAUAUAGUUUAUAUUGGAGAAAAAACUUUAUUUUUUUAAAAUUUUGAUCAGUUUUGACCAAAUUUUUGAUCGAAUUUGACUGGAUUUACCCGUGUUGGGUUUAAUGGACCGAUCCCGGGUUGUUUCUUAAAAUUUUACUGUUGAGACCGGAACCGGACCAGCCCGUUUAACCAAGCCCAGAUCUGAACCGGCCCACAAACGGAAUAAAAGUGACGGUCCGAUUCCGGGUUGACCCGGCCUAACCCCGUUAAUAGGUUUAUAUCAAAUCUUGUGAUAAUCUUGUAGAUCCAUUGACUAAGUCUUUAGCAAGAGACAAUGUGUGGAGUACCUCGAGGGGGGUGGGGUUGAAGCCUAUAAAAUCUUGAAUCAUUUGUGCGAAAACCUAUAACAUCCAACAUUUUUGGGCUAGAAUUCAAAUCAUUGUUCCUAAGUAUACAGACAUGAACCCAAUGAUUGUAUGUCUAUAUAUGUGUGAUUAUCAGUUCUAUAGUGUGGUAAUAUACUUUUAUAUAAAUCGAGGUCAUAAAAAUCUCCUAACUCAAAGAAGAGUUGAGGACUCUUCUAUCGAUAGAGUUUUAACGAAUUUGAAAAAUCUUAGUAGCUUAAUUGGUUAGUUACCUGAACUUCCACCUUGUUGGUGAGGGUUCGAUUCCCCACAUUGUAAUCCCCUCUCCCAUUCCCCUUCCCCUACCCCCCAAUUUAAAAAAAAAAUAAAAUUUUAACGAAUUCUCCAACUAGGGUCCACUUUAGACGAGUGUAUCUCCUAGAAUAUAUCAAUUCAGGUGUCCCACUAUAUAUCAAAUGAAAGGUCUUCGAGUCGUCUUUCCAAUUCACCUAAUUUCACCUUAAUCCGAUAUCAGAAUGGAAAAUAUGCUCAUUUUACCUAAGCACGCUCAUCUGACAACAAAAAUGAUAACUUGAGGUGAUAAUCCGUCAACUAAGUGACGACUUAUCAACCAAGUCGUCAGCCUUAACCAGAAUGUGAUCAAUUUCAGCUACAAAGUGACGACUUGAUGUGAUAAGCCAUCAACUAGGUGACGACUUGUCAGUCAAGUCAUCACUUUAAGACACCACAAAAUCCUAAACUUGACUCAGUCCUUUAAAACCUACUAAGGGGUUCUAGACUUAGAAAAUUGUAGCUAAGUAUCAAGACUUAGAAUCAUUUUAAACUUCCAAAUUUGGAGGAUUUUAUUUUCGAUCUUCCCGGCCAUAGUUAGUCGAUUUUUAAAUUGAUUCAUGAUCAGGGUCACUUGUAGGCCAUCUCGGGCAAGUUUCAAGUUUUUUCGACAAGUGUAAGGGCGAGUUUGGAUGCUAAAAAUAGUGAGGGGUUGUGAUGGCCCGUAUCGCGGGCCCAGUCAACCUAGCUAGGGGUCACAUUGCGAUAGGUAGUUGUAAUGCCCCGAAAAUGAGUUCCGAGACGUCACACGAUGUUUAGGGUCACAAGUGACCCCAAGCUAACCAACCCUUCUACUGGCAUAACUCAUACGCAACUGAAUAAAAUACAUAAAACUGUACAAAAUCAGCGAACAAUAACUUUCUGAAUCCAUACUAUACAAAACUGAAUUUACAAGAUAACAACUCUGCUCUUAGAAACAAAACUGAAACUGAAUACAUCAGCUUCUACUGGCUGUCUAUGAAGCCUCUACUAGCAUUGACUUUAGAUAGCCAGGACAUGACCCCCAACUAUCGCAAAUCAAUACGACUGAAUAAAGAAAAUAUCAAGUUGUAGAACUGACUCGAGCCCUUGAAUCAAAAGGACUCAUCAUUUGCUGACUGGAAGCUGCAACUGUCUGAAUAUAGUAUGCGUGCUAUAACUGAACUGAUACCAACAUUAGAAGACAAUGUGUGCAUAGACGUAUAUGUGGAUCAGUACUUUGAGGAUGUACUGAAUAUAUGGAAGUGUAUGCAAUAGUUAAACAAUAUCAUCAAUCUUUAUAGAAAUCAUGCAUGUUAAAUAUAAAAUGACUCACAUAGCUUGAAUAAAAUUCUCAUAAGUUGAGGUUAGGAAAUAGAUAAUAGAAAUCACGUGAGUCGUUUCACUUUAUUCUGGAUCUCUAUUCUUACUUUGUUCUCAACUUGUAAAUUAGAUAAAAUCUUAAAGCAUCAACCUUCAGGACAUAAGCUAUAAUCUCAUGAAAGCAAGAAACUUCUUGGGAACUUAGUAAUCAUGACACUUGAAAACUUUAGAAAUCAUAGAAACCAUAGCCUUCAAAAUCAAUAUACAUUCAAACUCACACUUUUAGCUUAAGGAUAGUAACACUUCUUUAAAACUCAAGAACUUGAUACUUUAGGAACUUUAAGACUUGAGACUCUAGAAAACUUAAGAGACUUUGGGACACUUGGGACUCGGGAUUAUAUCUUUGGGAGUUUCUUCUAACCGACAUAAACCAUGUAAAUUACAGAGAGUCCAACGUUUUACCCACGUUGGGGAGAACUAUUCUAUCCUUUCCAUCGGAGUAGAACCUUUAACUUUUAGUGAUCACUAUCUUAACCCACUUGGGGUAAAUCAGAAACCUACGGGGGCACGUAGUUCUGGGCCAUGAGACCUAGGAAUCAAGCCUAACUUGGUGCUAAAUACUACUCCCUUACUUAGCUCAGAACUUUAAGAAAAUUCACCUUAAACAAUUCAACAAUAUGUAAUAGGAGUCAAUAUGCUUCCUCUUUUAUCUCAAAUCAAACAAACAAUGUGGAUUUCUUUCUUAGCUUAGGGUCAAAACUCAAUUCUUUUCUUGAAAUCUUGAUAGACUUUUCAUCAAAGUUUUAAAAUCUCAACGACAUGGAAAUAUAAGUACACUUCUUGGAGUAUCAAUAAUUCAUCCUCAAAGACUCACAACUUCACAAUAAAGUUCAACUCAUGACAACAACUCUUGGAAAUUCUUGGAAACAUGAUAUCAAUAUAGGAAUGUGCAAUUUAUAUCAAGAACUCUCAAGUUAGAUCAUACUUGAACAAAAUAAUCAUGCAAUUAGGACUUGAACAAUUCCCUAAUAUCAUAAACUUGAAAUAUAGCAAAACAAUAUGAAUUCAUUUUGGAAAUACGAAAUUCUUUAUGAAAAUCUAAAACUUUUGGGCACAAGAACAAAGAGUGUUCUUGUUCAAACCCCAUAUACCUCAAAUUAUGGACUCUUGCUUUUUGGGAUGCUAUUCAUACAAUUGAUAGGUGCUUCUUGUAGCCCUCUCAAUGGGGAAUCCGAAUCUUGAAAAAUUAUCGAAAACCUACGGAUGAAUCUUGAGAUAUUUAAAUUUUUAGGUUGAAACCCUAAUGAAUGGCCUUGGUGAUUUUGAGAGAAAAUAAACUUAUUUUGGUGUCUUAGGGAUUUAAUCCCGUGUUAAGGAUAAUAAAGGGGUGGAAAAUACCAUUUCUACCCUUAAUGAGAUUGAGGAAAAAAGCUGAAAACUAGGCAAAAAGACUAUGGCCAGGGCGGCGCCUUGCCUAGAGCCUUUGCUAAGCUAGGCGGCGCCUCCCUAUAGCCUUUAGCUACUAUUUCUGAAACCCAAACACGCCCUUAGGCUCGUCUACAAAUUUUGAAACUCACCCAAGAUGUACUCUUACCUUACCCCAUUGCAACGCAACAAAAAAAUCAAUAAACGGAGGUCGGGAAGGUCGCUAAAUAAUUCCCCGAAGUUUGAAGGUUCAAAAAUAAACUAAGUGUUGAGCACUUAGCAAAAUUUGUAAGACUUCUUUUGAUUCGUUUCGAAAGCCUUAACGAUGAGGGAACUUUACAGGGUCUUACAAUAUCUCCCCCUUAGGAACAUUCGUCCUCGAAUGUCGCUCGUAAGGCUAAGAGUACAAAGAAAACUAAGGAUUCACGGCUGAAAUAACUUGUUAAAUUGACUCUACUUCAUCUUAGACUUUCGGGUACUUCAUAGAAUGCAUGAACUCAUAAUAAGAAUAUUCAUAUAGCUGAAUCUUUGAUUAAAAAAAAGGACUGAAUUAAGGAAGGCUAUUAUCUUCGUCUGAAUCUGAGCUAACUUGCUUUACCUUAUCAUGGGGAGCUGACUCAUGCUAAGAGUUUAGAACUCUUUUAAUGAGCUCAUGGCAUGAUCGUACUUAUAGACUGCAAAGUGAUUGUUUAUGCAGGCAUAAUCAUGAGAAAAUGAGGCUAAGAUUACACAAUGGAUAUCACAUUGUUUGAACUAGAAUACUUGGAAAAUGAAGGUUGUUCAAUGAAUACUUAUGAACUAAGACAUGACUAGAUACCCGAAUCCUGAAACUGAAACUGAUGUACGAAUUGAACUGAGUUCGCAAUUUACAUGGAUGGAAUAGAUUAUAUCUUGGAAUGGUCAUAUGCAUGAGACUUGAGAUAGCAGGACUGGGUGAAAAAGGUGUAAAACCACACGAUCUUGUCUGCCUCACCGUAAAACUGAAUUGCUGGCUAUACUGACUGAAUUACACUGGAAACUUAUACAUAGUUGGAGUAUCUCUUCAACACUCCAUAACAUGGAAUAUAGACAUAUAACUCAUAAACUGGGAUAGAAUUACCAGGCUUUAGGCGAUGCAACUUCUUACCUUCAAGCUUAGCAGCAGUUCUCGAAUACUCCAUCAUCUAUACUAUUCCCCUUAAAUACAAUACUCACUUGAUUCAACUUAUAAUUCUCAUAUAGCACUAAUAUUUCCAUCUACUAAUAUCUAGACUGAAUUAAAUUCUCUCACCAUCUUUAAACCUAACUCAAAAUCAUAGGACGCACCACAUAAUACUGUAAUACUAGCCUAAACCAUAAAUUCAACACACCCUGCAUUUCACAACUUUUCAUCUCAUGCGAAAUUCUCAUUACCACUCCAACAAACACAUUUGACCUCGUACUAGACAUUUACUAACGCGCAAUACAUUCAUCCCAAUAUAUAUACAAACAAGAUGCUCAAGCCUACUUCUAUAACCACAUAUGAACUUCUAAACACACUCCCAUAAAAUACCUUUGUCACAACUUACAAACCUCUAUCAAGAACAACUUCCAUGCACUACUCCUAAGAAGACAUACAUAAGAUUUCAACUACCCAAACAUCGCAUAUAAAACUUCGACUAACCAUGACGGGUAUUAAAGACUUGGCUUCAAUCUUACUUCACACUCUACUGCCUUAACUAAAAUAAGCAUACAACUAUCUUCCAGUAACAAGAAAUGUUUAGUCUCUCCCAUCCAGACAACUGAUCAUCAUCACUAUCUUGACCGAAGAAAAGGUAAUAGAAGUUUAGAACAUGAGGGCCUGAAACAUAAAGGGAUACUGUGAACUCAACUGAGGCUUGAGGAAUAGAAUAUUUAGCAUCAUGAACUUAUCAAAGAGGUCUAACCCGAGGACAUGCAUGAUAUAAACCUGAAUUUCGCUGAUCAUUAAAAGUAUUGCUUGAAUACUUGAACUAAACAUACCGUAAAGCUUGAGUACAUGAGUCAUGAGCUACAUGACUUAAAUUUGGAGUUCAUAACUUAUGAAAUGUGAUUCCAACUGCCGAAAGAACUGGAACUCCUUAUUCUUGGGAAUUAAGGGAGUACAAAUUUCUCUAUCAUAUGCAUGAACAUGAAUUAAGAUCAUGAAACUGAACUUAAGGCAUGAGCAGAUAUUGGGACAACUGAAAUGAUAUUGGGUCGGGCAUUAUGAUUCCUUACAGCUGUUCUACAACUUAUUGGUACAUCUACUAGAAUCUAAAAGCUUGACUUGGUUACUUGUGCUAUCAUCUCCCCCUUAAACUUCAGCCAUCAUUCUAAGGCUGUGAACCACUAUGUAAACUCUAGUCUGGUUGCAAUCACUUUACUCUAGAGUCUGGAAUAUAACAAUGCACGUGAAUGAUAGAACUUAACCCAAAUGACUACACCUGAAAGGGUAAGACCAACUUCUAAUACAACCUUCUGAGCUACACCCUCUCUUUCUAUAGCCCCAAAAGUCAUUAUAUAAUAUUUGAACACUUCCUAGCUUUGAAUCCACAUAAGCAUCCCUAUAGUCGGAGUGCACACCAUUUAGUGCUUUAACUCUUAUUUCUAUUAUCUCAAUCUCCCAACUUUCAAAAUUAGAUUCUAACGCUUAAUAUGGGUAUCUCCAAACUUUUGAUGGACCAUACUACUUCUAUCAUAGCCUACCAAUAUCACACUUAUAAGCUUAUAUUUCUAAACCAUGAGAAUCAAAAUCAUACUUAACAGGCUCAACACCGUCAAUCAUAACUCCUUAACUUAGUUAUCAAGAACAUCGUACAUUAUCUAAUGAGUCUUUCUCCACCUAGAAACUCAACAGUACUACUAACCACACAACAUGCAAUGAUCCUCGAAAAUAAUGCAGCCCUAUAGCACCUUGGGCGUCCUUCUACAUCAUGUUUACAACAUCAGACAUGAUUACGAAUCAAAUAAACUUAAGCUCUUUCACACACUGUUCAAGCCUACUAGAUCAUUCAUGUACGUCUAACAUCCACAACACAUCAAUCAUUAUAUCCACCUUGCUCAUCAUCUAUGAUUCGAACUUGUCAACUAUUCAUACCUGUCAAACAUCCAAAGAUUCUAGUCUGUUAAAAUCUCAUAACAUUAAGGAUCAAUCACAACCCUAUGAUCUAUCUUAUUUAAAAUCCAUUAACACACUCUCCUUCUACACAUCAUUACUAUCUACCAAGUAUUUUCAUCAAUAACUUAUACCUUUCUAGCACAACAAACAUUAUCAACAACUCUCUUCACACUUCAAGCAAACAUCAAUUCACCUUAACUAAUAACUCCUUCUCUAUCUUCUACUAAACUAACACAUAAGGACAUAUCACUUCUCAAAUGCCCUGUAGCCUCUCGAAGAAAAGUACAGACGUCUCCAUAGCGUUCCACAAGACUCUACUAGAGACGACUCACCCUAGGACUCUUGAACUCUAUGCUUUGAUACCAAAUUUGUAAUGCCCCGAAAUGAGUCCCGAGACGUCACACAGUGCUUAAGGUCACAAGUGACCCCAAGCUAACACUUUAAUUGGCAUAACUCAUAUGCAACUAAAUAAAAUACAUAAAUCUAUACAAAAUCAGCGAAAAAUAACUCUUCUGAAUCUAUACUAUACAAAACUGAAUUUACAAAAUUACAACUCUGCUCUUAGAAACAAAACUGAAACUGAAUACAUCAACUUCUACCGACUGUCUAUGAAGCCUCUACUAGCAUUGACUUUAGAUAGCCGAGACAUGACCCCCAACAAUCCCAAAUCAAUACGACUGAAUAAAGAAAAUAUCAAACUGUAAAACUGACACGAGCCCUUGAAUCAAAAGGACUCAUCACUUGCUGACUGGAAGCUGUAACUGUCUGAAUAUAGUAUGCGUGCUACAACUGAACUGAUACCGACAUUAUGAGAUAAUAUAGCACAUAGAUGUAUAUGUGGAUUAGUACUUUGAGGAUGUACUGAGUAUAUGGGGGUGUAUGCAAUAGUUAAACAAUAUCAUCAAUCUUUAUAGAAAUCAUGCAUGCUAAAUGUAAAUGACUCACAUAGCUUGAAUAAAAUUCUCAUAAGUUGUGGUUAGGAAAUAGAUAAUAGAAAUCACAUGAGUCAUUUUACUUUAUUCUGGAUCUGUAUUCUUUCUUUGUUCUCAACUUGUAAAUUAGAACCUUUAACUUUUAGUGAUCACUAUCUUAACCCACUUGGGGAAAAUCAGAAACCUACGGGGGCAUGUAGUUCUGGGCCAUGAGACCUCGAAAUCAAGCCCAACUCGGUGCUAAAUACUACUCCCUUACUUAGCUCAGAAAUUUAAGAAAAUCCACAUUAAACAAUUCAACAAUAUGUAAUGGGAGCCAAUAUGUUUCCUCUUUAUCUCAAAUCAAACAAAUAAAACAAAUAAUGUGGAUUUCUUUCUUAGCUUAGGAUCAAAACUCAAUUCUUUUCUUGAAAUUUUGAUAGAUUUUUCAUCGGAGUUUUAAAAUCUCAACAACAUGAAAUAUAAGUACAUUUCUUAAAGUAUCAAUAAUUCAUCCUCAAAGACUCACAACUUCACAAUAAAGUUCAACUGAUGACAACAACUCUUGGAAAUUCUUGGAAACAUGAUAUCAAUAUAGAAAUAUGCAAUUUAUAUCAUGAACUCUCAAUUUAGAUCAUAAUUGAACAAAAUAAUCAUGCAAUUCAAGACUUGAACAAUUCCCUAAUCUCAUAAACUUGAAAUAUAGCAAAAUAAUAUGAAUUCAUCUUGAAAAUCUGAAAUUCUUUAAGAAAAUCUAAAACUUUUGAGCAUNNNNNNNNNNNAAAGAGUGUUCUUGUUCAAACCCCACAUUCCUACAAUUAUGGAUCUUGCUUUUUGGGAUGUUAUUCGUACAAUUGAUAGGUGUUUCUUGUAGCCCUCGCAAUGGAGAAUCCGAAUCUUGAAAAAUUAUUGAAACCCUACGAUUGAAUCUUGAGAUAUUUGGAUUUUUAGGUUGAAACCCUAAUGAAUAUCCUUGGUGAUUUUGAGAGAAAAUAAACUUAUUUUGGUGUCUUAGGGAUUUAAUCCCGUGUUAAGGAUGAUAAGGGAGGGGAAAAUACCAUUUCUACCCUCAAUGAGACAGAGGAAAAAAGUUGAAAACUAGGCAAAAAGGCUGGCCAGGGCGGCGCCUUGGGCAGCGCCUAGCCCAGAGCCUUUGCUAAACUGGGCGGUGCCUCCCUAUAACCUUUAGCUACUGUUUUUGAACCCAAAGACGCCCUUAGGCUCGUUUAUAAAUUUUGAAACAUACCCAAGAUGUACUCUUACCUUGCCCCAUCGAAACGCAACAAAAAAAUAAUAAAUGGAGGUCGGGAAGGUCACUAAAUAAUUCCCCGAAGUUUGAAGGUUCACUAAUAAACUAAGUGUUGAGCACUUAGCAAAAUUUCUAAGUGUAAGAUUUCUUUUGAUUCGUUUCGAAAGCCUUAACGACGAGGGAACUUUACGGGGUCUUACAAUAUCUCCCCCUCGGGAACAUUCAUCCUCGAAUGUCGCUCGUAAGGCUAAGAGUACAGAUAAAUCCAUAUGUUUACCAAAAAUGCCUAAGUGAAAUAAUUGUGCAAUUUGAUCCAUUAUUGAUCUUAAUUAUGAAAUCAUGAAAGAACUACAUGUCUAAAGGACUCCCAUGUUAAAGUUAUGCCUUGAAGGUGUUUGUUGAAAUGCCUAUGUGAAUCAUUAGUGUACUUAUGACAUGAUAGCAUGUAUCCCUAUAUAUGUACAAGUUCAAGAUUUACAAGUGUUUGAUGAAAUGCCUUAGAAAGUGAAUUAUGAACAUGUGGCCAUUGUCGUGCCUUUAAGAUUUAUGUUACGCUUUACUCUUUACGUUAUCAAGUCUUGGAUGACGACCUUGAUGAGCAUAUGCAACCAGUCUUAGACUCUACCCCUCAGCCCAGAAUUGAUCUCAGCGGAACUCCAAAACAUGGGCCAGAGCCUCCCCUUCUUUCUUCCUAAAAUGCCUGAGCUCCUGAGAGAGGGCCCAAUUUUUAUCAAAUCCUAUGGGGAGCUCCCACAAAUUCCACUUCUCACAAACGAAAUAGACAUUCCACAUCAUCGACUUUCGAUGGAAAUAAUGGAAAGAGCGAAAACCAUGGAGGCUCUAAGGCAAACAACAGGGAAAUAGAGAAACUCCUGGCAUUAUUAAAGGUCCCAGAGCAAAGGUCAUACUUCUAGGAAGGCCUAUCUCUCAAACAUUCGAGGAACUUAUCAGCGUGUUUCUAAUUGUCCUACUUACCCCAGAACUAAACCAGUUCGAUCUAUAAGUCAACCUCCCAAAGUCAAACAUCUUCUACUUCAGCCAAGAUGACCCCGAUAUCCAAGAAAAGAAAAGAACCAACGUCAACCUUUCUCCCUCGCUUAAUGGACAAGGGGAAAAGAAUACUAGAUCCAGCCCAUCAUAAGCCCCCCCCCCCCCCAUCCUCCUCUAUGAUGACUUCAAUAAUAUCAAAUGUUAGAGGAGCAAAGAAUGCUGAGUUCAGAAGGCAUUGUCAAUCAAUGGUUAACAUUCACAAGCCUUUUCUGCCUACCCUCCUAAUAAAGACAUUGCUGAAACUUUGGGUUUAAAUAGCCAAAUUCAAUUCCCUACUACGGGUAGCGUAUGAGGUAUUGUUAUCAUGUGGGAUAAUUCUACUUUGGGUAUUCAAAACAUUGUUAUUUUCCCUCAGGGCAUUCAUGUGGCUGUAAAGGUAAUUAGCCCUUCUUCCUCUUGGUACUUUAGUGUUAUAUAUGCUAGUAAUAGUUUUGAAGUUAGGAAAAGUCUUUGGGCUUAACCUCAUCGAGUUUGCUAACUCUAUUGCUGGUGAGUCUCCUAAUACCUAGAUUAUUGGAGGGGACUCUAGUGAAGUCCUUAAAGCUCAGAGAAGAUUGGUGGCAAUAAUAUCAAUAUAACUAGAGCGACUGCCUUCUCAGAUUGCAUCAAUAAUUAUAGCCUUGUGGAUUAGGUUUCAAAGGCAGCAAGUAUACUUUGUCUAAAAAAAUAUUUAGGAAUAGAAGGGGACUCAUUCUUGAAAGGCUAGAUAGAUGUCUAGCCAAUGAGGCUUGGAUUCACCUCUUUCCUAAAGCCUCUGUCUCCCAUCUUCCCAGAACCGAUUACGAUCAUUGUCCCCUUCGCUUGAAGCUGGACAAUACCCCCAACACCUAGGAUAACCCCUUUAGGGUUAAGUCCAUAUAGUGCUCUCACCCAAGCUUUAUUCACAUUAUCCAGAAUUCUUUUUCCCCUGAGGUUCCUCUGACCGAGGCCAUAACCAUCUUUGAAUCCCAGGUUUUCACCUAGAAUAGAGAAACCUUUACUAACAUCUUUAAGGAAAGAACAAGAACCUUGCUAGAUUAGAUAGCAUCCAAAAAUCUCCCUAUUAUCACUCCAGCCUCUUUCUCCAGGACCUUGAAAGAACCCUCACUAAGGAAUUUAGUAUCAUUCUCGGACUAGAAUAAGUGUUCUGGAAACUUAAAUCCAGAAUCAAUUGGAUUGCUGAGGGUGACUCUAAUACUAGAUUCUUCCAUAUCUUUACUCUAAUAGAAGAAGAAGAAAUUGGAUUAAUGUCAACAAAAAAGAUAGUGGUAAUUGGAUCUACUCUACAGAGGCAAUCUACAACCACAUCCUAUCCUUCAACAACAAUCUCUUCGGGAUUGACCACCUUUCAUAUCCUCUGUCAGUUGAACCCCUCCUCUUUAGAGGGUCCAUCAAAUCAGAGGAUCAUGAUUCUCUUAACAACAUCCCUUCCCCUAAAGAAAUUAAAAGAACCAUCUUCUCUUUCAAUCCUUACAAAGCUCCUGGCCCUGAUGCCAUCCAACCCUCCUUUUACCAGAGAUACUUGUACAUCUUGAGUCAUUCUGUUAUCAACACCUUCACUUCUGGUAAAAUGAAGUAUAAGGUCAAUUCUACCUAUCUUUGUCUCAUCCCCAAAUGUCCUAAUGCUAGCAAUAUUAGGAAUUACAGACCCAUUGGGCUCUGUAACACUCAAUAUAAGCUUAUCACUAAAAUCCUAGCUUUCGGGAUAAAACCUCAUUUUGCUAAGAUCAUCAGCCACACUCAAGAAAGCUUUCUCCCCAACAGGAGGACCUCAGACAAUGCAAUCAUUGUUCAAGAGGCCAUAUCCCACUUCCAGAAAAUGAAAGGCAAGUAGACAUAUGGUUUUGAAAAUAAACCUCAAAAAAGCCUUUGAUGGACUAAAGUGGUAUUCAUUAGACAAGCUCUCCAUUUCCUCAACAUCCCAACCAAACUCAGCUCCCUCAUAAAGUCAUACAUCUCUUCUUCCGGUGUAUUUGUUUUAAUUAAUGGGAGAAAAUCCGACUUCUUCUACCCCUCUAAAGGGAUCUGACAAGAUGACCCUCUUUUUUCCCUACAUCUUUUUCAUGUGCAUGAAACUACUCUCUAUGAGAAUAAACCAUGAGGUAGAUAUCCUUAAUUGGAACCCUAUAUCCAUUUGCAAUAAUGGCCCCAAACUUUCCCAUCUUUUUUUUGUUGAUGACCUUACCCUCUUCUCUAAGGUCUCUAUAGGAAGUUGUACCACCAUUUCCAAAGUUGUUGAGUCUUUUAGCCUUCAUUCUGGGCAAAAAAUCAACCUUUCCAAAGCCAAGGCAUCUUCUCAAAGAAUUGCUCCCCUCAAGACAAAACCUCUAUGGUAAACAUCCUCUCUAUCCAAGUUAAGGAUAACUUUGGGAAGUACAUUGGUUUCCUUAUUCUUCACUCUGCCCCUUGCUAAAAGGACUUCCAGUUCAUCAUUAAUAACAUUAACACUAGACUAGCUGGUUGGAAAACCAAGUUCCUGAACCUUUUUGGGAGGGUUACCCUUGCAAAAGCCUCUCUUAGUAGUAUUCCUAUCCAUGUUAUGUAGUACCACUUCAUCCUUAGCAGAAUUAUCUCUCUUAUUGAUAAGAGCCCAAAGGAAUUUUAUUUGGGUUCCACCUUGGAGAAAAGAAGAAUGCACAUGGUGAGCUGGGACGUCAUCACCCUCCCCAAAAACCAAGGUAGACUUGGUCUUCAAAAAGCUAGGCAUAAGAAUGACACCAUGCUUACAAGCCUAACCUGGAGACUUACCCAGAACCCCAACCGUCUUUGGGCACAGAUUCUAAGGAAUAAAUAUGGGUCUCCGAAGUCUAAGUGUAACCCUUCCUUCUCCAAGACUUGGAAAAAUAUCUCCCGAGGUUGGAAGCAUUGUCUGAAUGGUGCCCAAUGGAUUGUCCAUAAUGGGAAUCAUAUCAACUUUUGGUAUGGCAGGUGGAUCCCCAACAUGGAACCCCUUAUAUACCUUAUUCAGGGCCCCCUUAGCCUCCUUCAAUCCUAAAUCAAGGUCUCAGAAGUCUGGAAUGAAGGUAACUAGUUUUUCUCUGACCUCUCCCUCCAAUGGUAUUUUCUCUAGUAGUAGCGCAUAUUCCCUCCAAGGCCCUAUCUUUUUGGUUUGAUAAUGAAUAGAGUUCAGAAUCAUUUUCUUUUUUGUAAUGAAUUAAUUGGUCUUUUUCAUAUGAAUUCCAUUUGUUUAAGUUUCUAUUUUUAUUUUGAGCCAUACAACUUUGAUUAACCCCAGUUCUCCAUUUUUUUGGCAUUAAUCUAGACCAUCUAAUCUUAGAUAAAUCGUAUUGAUAAUGCCGUCUUAACCAGUUUUUCCAUUGAUUGAUUCUAUAACUCUGAGGUUUUUUAUGUUUUAAUUCAGAAUGAAAUAUUCCUAGUGUUCUAAAAUAGUCCUUUAUUUUAGUCUUAAGGAAAAAAGACGUUCUGUUAUAUUGAAGAACAGAUUUAAAUUUAGACAAAUUAAUAACUUGGGUUUGUGAUAAUUUGUAAAAUACAUAUGCUUGUGACAAGUAGGAUAAAUCAAAAAAACUAUGUGAAUUUUUCUUACUAAUAUUAUAAAUAUUAUAAAGUGACUUUUUUAUAGUCGAAAUAAAGAUAAAGUUAAUUUUGUUUUUAUUAUUAAUUUUUUCUUGAUUUAUUUCAUUAUUGGAAAUGUAUUUCUCAAUCAAUUUCUUUGUUGAUUUAAGACGGAGUUGUGUAUUAAUUCUUGUAAUAUUAAUGAUAGAUAAAAAUAGAUCGAUGUAUAAUCUUUGAAUGAAUAAUUUUCUAAAAUAAUGGAAUUGACAUAUUAAUCGAGUAUUUCUUUUUUUUAAUAUUUGGAAAAUAUUUUUUGGCGAUUUAGGACUAAUGUCUAUUUCUGGAGUUACUUUCUUUUUCUCUUUUGUAAUUCUUUCUAUUUGAUUUUUUAUUGUACUUGUUCUAUCAGUCAAAUCCUUCAUUUUGGUUUCUAUCAGUGAAGAAUUUGGCUCUGGAAAACAAACUGCCCCAAGGAUUAAGUCCUUCCUUUGGUAGCCCAACAUAAUAGAUUUCCUACUAAGCUACCCUCUCCAACAUGGGCCUCCCCAUCAGCCCUAACUGUGACUUUUGCAACCACUCCUUAGAAGAUAUCCCCCACCUCUUCUUUGAUUGCCCUGCCACCCAAGAGAUCUAGCAUAACCUUUCUUUAAAGGUCGCAAUGAGCCAAGAAUUACCCUCCCUAAUCUUCACCCUACCAAAUGGUCCCUUUGGACUAAACUAAGACAUAAAAAAUUCAACCACCUCCUUGAUUGACAUGAUAUUAUCCCCUUCUGCCUCUGGACUAUCUGGAGAAACCAAUUAUUUUGAGAACAAGAAGGCAAAACCCUUUUUUAUCCAAAGUUACUCAAAAGCAAUCGAAUAUAACCUUCUAGUUGUAAAUCCUUCAUCCACAACCAGAUUCACGGAUAUCAAUAUCCAUUGGAACCCUCCUCCCAAGGUUACUUUAAACUUAACAUCAAUGACUCGUGUCUUGGAAAUUCGGGUAGGGGAGGGAUAGAAGGUUUGACCCGUAAUGCAAUAGGAGGUUGGGUUCUUGGCUUCACCAAGAGCUUUAGCCAUACCACUAACAACUACAUGGAGUUUGCUCUCAGGGAAGGACUUAAAAUUGUUGAAUCCCACUAGUCUUCACCCUUGGAGAUCAACAUUGAUUCCAUGGAUUUAAUUUCAAUGCUAAAUCAUGGAAACUUACAUUAUAAUGAGUUUCCAUUAUAAUGCUAUCAUUGAUGAAUGCAGGUCUAGCCUAAGAAGAUUAGGAAGCCCAGCGAUGGUGCAUUGCUUUAGAGAGCAAAAUGGCGUGGCUAAUGCCUUAGUGAAUAAGGGGGUUGAAUCUGAAGCGGAGCUGGGAAUCGCUCUUUUUGAAAUUUCGUCAAUGUGUGCGCAACAAUCUCUAUAGGCAGACAUUGUGGGAACUCUUUUUGUUAGACAAAUUAAGCAUCCUCCAGACAGUUUUGUGACAGUUUUGUGACUGACAUCACAAGACUUUUGUACUUAAUCCUGACUCAUCUAGUCAGAACUAUGUUACUCCUUUUGUUUUUUUAUUUAAUAUUAACGCAAGCCUAUUAACCAAAAAAAAAAGAUGGACUAGUUGAGUAAUCCAACAUUGCGAUGAUCAUUACAGAGAGCAAAUUUCUAAAAAAUAGGAAUACAUUAUACUUUUAAGCUAAUCUUGAGUGAAGACUUAUAAGAAUGAGUUCAGAAUCAAUUGUUUAGACCACUUUUAUGUUAUAACCUAAAGAAGAAAAUCUGUGUAAGUCUAGGCUUCUAAGCGAACUAUACCUUAAGGACCAGUUUGGUAGGCCGCACUAAUUAGAAUAAUCCAUGGAUUAAAAUUGUCUCUCCAAUACAUCGUUUGGUUACUUUUCAACUUAAUACAUGAAUUACUUAUACACCAUAUGAUGUCUUAUUUUAUCCCUAGUAAAUGGAAAGGAUAACUUAUCCAAGAUUUAACAAUCCAUGGAUAAGACCUCCAAAUGACUAAAUUAUCCCUCAAUUUUUUUUUUAAAUUUCUUUUGUAAUUUGACAUCCUCAUUAACUAUAUUGGGUUGGUUAUAAAUGUUCUUUUUAAUUCUCGGACUCUAGUUCAUUGUAAUUUGACUAUUUCAUAAAUUAUGUUUGACUUUUUUCUUCAUAUUUCAUUUUCUUUACUGGGUUGAGAAACAGUUCAUGGAUUGGUCAUUUUAAUAAGCUUUAGGUAUUUAAACAUUUAUGUAGCCUUAAAUCUAUGGUAAAUUUAAGGCAGGUUUGACCAAUAAAAGAAUAUUGAAAGUACACAGUGUUAUCAAGGAUUUUCAUAGUGGCAAUCACACCAGAAAAUUAGUAAUAAAUUUUUAUUCAUAUUUUAGUUUUUAACUUGACUAAUUUAAUGAAAUAGAAAAUCCCAUAAAAAUUCAAGGGUAUAAUUGUAAAUGAGAUUUUUGUAGAGUUUUAAAUCAAACAUAAUACAUGAUAUAUCUAGUUUUUAAUAUAAUGAACCAAACACUUGAUAAAAAAUAAUUCAAGUACUAUAAUCCCUGUAUUAUUUCCUGCAUUAGCUGUCUUCGUACCAAACGACCUCUAAAAUCGGUACCUUUAUAAAAGUUUAGCUCAAACAUAGUUGAAAUUUGACCUCUUUGAAAUUAUUGAACACUACGUAAACCCCUUCUCUAGCUGAGGCCUUCCUUAAUGGGUUCUAAUUCUAAGAAGGGUACAAGUGAACAAGAGGGUAAAUUAGGUAGUAAAAUGAUACUUUAAUUAGUUGUUUUAAGAGAAUUAAAGAGUAAGGGAACUUGUUUGUCAAUAAUUUCUUAUUCACAUCUAAAUAUAAUCGGAGAAUAACAAAAGAAAGAUUUCAAGGCUUUGAGAAUAUCACUUUGAUACUUUUCCUCAUCACCUUUAUCUUCAAAUCAAGGUGUAUUACAUUACUACUUAAUAUAAGUGACAAUCUUGAGUUUUUCGUCGUUCUCACAGGAACAAUUUUAGAAUAUCACUGUGUCCUUUGUAAAUGAUAUUGAUAAACUAGAAAAUUUAAAGUUGUGAAAACUCUCUAGAAAUGCUCACAGCGCAUGUUAGCUAACGUACGCUGAGCUUGAAAGCCACGGCUAGAGGGAGAGGCCGAGGAUGGGGGCGAGGUUGAGGAAGGCCCCCAAGACAACUAUUGCUUCUUUUGGUAGCUCUGUAGCUACUAGACAACAAAUCCCACUUAAAUCUGACUUGAUUACACCCCCACUAGGGAUUAAGGUUAAGGAGCAACACCUGGUAGGCGAUGGGAGUCCCACCACUGCAGUAGCUAAGAAACUCUAAUUAAGUGACACUCCACCUACUGAUAGUAAAGUUGAUGAAUCUGGUGGUUCCAGGAGUUUGUAAUAUGCCAAUCCCAAUGGAACAGUGAAUUGAGCUAUUGUACACCAAACCAAUGAAAUAAUAAUACCAGAUCUGAAAGAGAAGGAAUGCAAGAGAAAAGAUAGGGGGAAGGGAAGAAUAGAUCAGCAGCCAAGGAUAUGUCUCUGAACUAUAUAGCCCCAGUAAUUGUGAAUGGACAAUGUAUAACUGAACUAGAUAAGGCUGAGGUAGCUAAGGAAUCUCAUAACUGGAAGUGUGCACUAAUUGAAUAUGUAAUUGGGGCAAACCCUGGGUAUAAUGGUUAUAAUGUGAUGAUGCAAUAUAUCAAUCAAAAUUGGAAGGAAGUUGCUCAACCGGAGUUAUAUAUGCAUGAUGAAGGUUAUUUCAUUACUAGAUUUAACUCACAGACUGACCUACACAGUUUUAUGCUCAGGUUCAUACACUAUCAAUAAUCUUCCUCUCAUACUCAAGUUGUGGUCAGCCCAAUUUGAUUUUAAUGAAGAAUACCCUACUAAGAUCCCGCUAUGGGUGAAAUUUCCUAAACUACCAAUGAAUUAUUGGAGUUACGAUUCAUUGAGUAGGAUUGCUAACUCAAUAGGCACUUCUAUGUAUGCUGAUGAGUGCACCACCAAGCAGACUCGCAUAUCCUAUGCUUGAAUUCUAGUUGAGGUCAACAUUACUCAGCUAUUACCUGAUUCAGUCAUAGUGAGAGCCCCUGAUAGUCAUGUUUUUCAGCAGGUAGUCAUGUACGAUUGGAAGCCUGUGUUCUGCCAAAAAGGUCAGAUUAUUGGUCAUACAUGUCACAGAUAACCCCCACCAAUGCCCAGAUAAAAGAAAGAAAUACCCAAAAGAGUGAUCCAAACCUGGCAAUACAAUGUCUUAAUCGUGGAUCAAGACAAGAGGCCUAGAAUUUAGAGAAAAAUGAGCCAUAGACACUAGAGCAAGCCACUGUUAAGGGAGAAAAAUCAAUUAUAACACUGGAGCCUACAACCACCACAUCUUCACAGUCUACACAACUAGUAAAGUCCACACAACUAGUAAAGUCCAAUGAGACUAGCUUUCAACCAGUAACUAUUAAGAAAAGAGGUGUUGUUCCUAUUGAUAUUAUCUUGGAUAUGGGUAUGUCUUCUAUCUCCUUCGGGAACAGGUUUGCUAGUAUUUAGAGUGACAUAGGUGAGGCGAGUUUGGCCCUUCUUGAUAGAGGGAAAAUACAUAAUACCAUAUGAAACGGCUGUUUUGGAAUAUCAGGGGUAUGAAUAAAAGGUAUAAGCAAAAAGAAGUUAAAAAUUUGCUUAAGAAUAAAAAAGUUGAUUUAGUAGGAAUAGUAGAAACUAGAGUCAAGGCUCACAAAGCCACUCAAAUAAGUGCCCACAUUGCUUCUGUUUGGGGGAAAUUACACAAUUACAACUCUACUGAAAAUGGUAGAAUUUGGAUACUAUGGGAUACUCGACACUACUAUGUCUCUCUUUUGAAAGAAGAGAUGCAAUUAAUACAAUGUCAGGUCAGGAGCUUAGCUGAUGGGGAAGUCUGUUUAAUUACGGUAGUAUAUGGAUACAAUACUGCAUCUUUGAGACUGAUGCUAUGGGACCAAUUAUGAGAGAUAUCACAAGGUAACCAACAACCAAGGAUUAUCAGUGGUAACUUCGAAGCUCUAUUGUACCCUCGGGAUAGAUUUGCAGGGAAUCCAGUACAAUAUAGUGACUCGAAGGAUUUUACUAACACAUUCAUAGUUGUGCACUUUAUGAGAUAUCAUGGAAAGGAGACUAUUAUACUUGGUCAACAGAAAACUUGGAAAAGAUAGAAUCUGAGCAGAAUAGAUAGAACUUUGGGCAACAGUGUUUGGAUGCAACAAUGUGGGUCAUGUGAAGGUUGAAUAUGAGGUCCCUUAUGUCUCAGACCACUCUCCAGUGUUUAUUAAUCUUACAGGUAAUAACUGAACAUCAAAGUGUCACUUAAGUUUUUUAAUGUGUGGACAGAGCACAAAGAUUUCCUGCAAAAUAUUAUUGAACAUAACUGGCAAGGUAUAAAGAACCUCGACCCUGGAAAGAACUUAUGGAUGAAACUCAAAGCUCUAUAGACUAAUUUGAAAGCCGUCAAUAACCUAGAAUUUAAAGUCAUAGCUCAGAGGAUAGAAAAAUCUAGGACUGAUCUUCAUAUUAUACAGGAGAAUAUGUUGCAAUGUCAAUCAGAUACCCUGCAAGCUUACGAGAAAAUAACUCUUCAAACUCUUGAAAAAUGGUUUGAGGUAGAGGAAAGUAUUAUGAAGUAGAAUCCAAAGCACAAUGGAUUAAACCUGGAGACUUCAAUACAAAAUAUUUCUCAGCAGUUGUCAAAGACAGAACCCAGAGGAAGAAUAUUACUGAACUCACCAGCUUGGUUGGUGACUUACUAACUGGCCCUAAAGCUAUUAAAGAGGAAAUUAUCUCUUUAUAUAAGGGUCUAAUGGGUUCUACAGCUCUUUCCGUACCUCAGUUGAUAUCUCAAAUAUGCAGAAAGGUCCUAGACUGUAGCAGAAUCAAAAAAUACUACUGUGACUGAAGAAAAAAUUCUUAAAAGCCUAAAAACUAUGAAAGAUGAUAAAACCUGGAUUGGAUGGAUAAAAUGUUGUGUUCUUUAAUAAAACUUGGCAUUUUUUUAAGCACGAGGUCAUUUUCACUGUGAAGCAUUUCUUUGAUACUGAAAAACUUUUCAAGCCUCUUAAUUGUGCAAUAGUAACCCUGGUUUCAAAAAUCCAAGCUCCUACCACAGUUAAAGACUAUAGACCUAUUACAUUUUGCUCUAUUGUGUGUAAGUUGAUUUUUAAGAUAUAAUAAGUAGACUCCAGAAUGUCAUGCAACCCGUAUUAAUGAGGCUCAAUCUAGUUUUAUCCCUGGUAGAAGAAUAGGGGAUAGUAUUAUCAUGGCACAUGAACUUAUCAAAGGCUACAUCAGAAAGAACAUCUCCCCCAGAUGCGUGAUCUCCAAAAGGCAUAUGAUUCUGUUGAAUGGAUAUAUUUGCAUCAUAUUUUAGUGGUUCUGGGAUUUCCUGAUAAAUUUAUCACUUGGCUCAUGUGUACAAACUGUUUCUUAUAGUAUUAUGAUCAAUGGUGAACCUAGUGAACCUUUUCCAGCAGCUAAGGGAUUAAGACAAGGUGACCCCAUAUCACACUUCCUUAUUUGCUUUAGCAAUGGAAUACCUGAGCAAGACAUUAUCAUAGUUGAAGAUGGAUAAAGGCUUUCACUAUCAUCCUAGAUGUGCCAAGCUAGGUGUCGCGCCCUAUUUCGAACCGGUGGAGAUAGUCCACAACAUAGUUGUGGUCACUGUGACUCUUUGGUUUUGAAAAUCAUUUUUAUGUAAAAAAAAUCUAUUUUUGAUCUUUCAAAAAUAUUUGAGAUUCUAAGUAAAGGUUUCGGUUACUCGAGGGUAAGGUGUUAAGCACCCCUAAGGGCCUAUCCGAAGAUAGUCCUUAACUCAGUUUAGGAAGACAUUUGGAAAAAUAUUUACUUUUAUUAUUUACAAUAAUAGUGGUAACUACACAUAAUGUUUAUCAAAUUCUAAAGAAACACACAAGGUACAUAAACAUAUCCUUCCGAUAUACGAAAAAGUGACGUAAUUUAUUGUCAAAAUAUGCAUGCAAUGUUUCAAAAAAAUAUGAAAAUGCACAUCUAUAAACCCAUGUAUUCAAUACCAUACGAUUUUUCAGAAACAUAAAUUCUAAACAGAACCAAAGAUUCGUAGAAAUCAAAAGAAAAACGAAAGAAAAGGAGAUGAGAGUUGAAUUAGAAAGGGAAUCCGCACCUUUUCUGGGGCAGCAAUUGAGGCUUUCCGUCAAGAUUCCGGCCACCAAACUCUACACCGGAAACUCGAUUUUAACAUGAAAUUAAGAAGAAAGACCAAGAAUUAUUGUGAUCUCCUACAUAUUUCCAAAAUACCCAAGGCUGAGUUUUGAACGUUCUCCUCCUUUCUCGACCGAUCUGAAACUUUUAUAUCUUUUAAAACUCGUUUCUCCCCUUUGCCUCGAAUCUGACAAAACCUCCAUUUUUGGACCUCUACAAACACUCCCUCUUUUAGUGAUGGAAUUGAAGGUAUUUAUAGUUAAAUUAGAACUUCAAAAUUUGGAUUUGACACUUAAAUCUAUAGAAGCCAACGGAUAGAAAAAAGAUGGGGGGAUUCAAAUUCAAAAACAGGAAAGAGACAUCACAUAACCUAAAAUUUUGGACGAUCCUUGGACCUUUAGUGUGGAUUUGAAAUUGAUUUUCAAUUCUUGUACCGAUUUGGAACUGUUUUUCUAAUGUCCGUUGGUUUCACGGGUCGGAGGAGAUAAAAUUGAGGGAAAUCUUGACAAGUGAGGGCAGACGAUGGUCAGUUAUGGUGGUGGAUAGGGUUUCAUUUUCGGGGUUGUUGAGGAGAAGAAGAAGAACAAACAAGGGAGGGGUCAGUAGUCUUGCUGUGCAUUUUUGAAGAAUGGAUGGAGACUAGUCGAUGCUUCUCUGAUAAACAAGCAAAGACGCGUCUGUGCUGUACUUAUUGAAGACCAA